AUUCCAAUUCAUCCUCAUAUAUCAUAAUGUGCAAGAUGACAUCUCCUCCUCUCUCUUGCUGCUGCAAGGGCAGUUCAGACUUUGUGAAGGACUCAAACUCAGAAGACAAGAAACCCCUACUCACCACCCCAUUGAUCACCAAAACCAAAGAACAAAAACCCCAGACACCUCAUAAAUCCCAUUUUUCCUUGGCUCUGAAAGAAGCAUAUUCUAUAGCUAGUAUUGCUUUCCCUAUGAUCAUGACAGGCCUUUUACUCUAUUCUCGGUCCAUGAUCUCCAUGCUCUUCCUCGGCCGCCUCGGCGACCUGGCCUUAGCCGGCGGCUCCUUGGCCGUCGGCUUUGCCAACAUCACCGGAUACUCCAUCCUUUCCGGUCUCGCCAUGGGAAUGGAACCCAUUUGCGGCCAAGCUUUUGGUGCCAAGAAACAUACUCUGCUUGGUCUCUGUUUGCAAAGAACAGUCCUUCUUCUUGUUCUUACCUCCAUACCAAUUUCACUUCUCUGGCUCAAUAUGAAGAAACUCCUAAUCCUUUGUGGCCAGGACGAAGCUAUUGCCAUUGAAGCCCAAUCAUACCUCCUCUAUUCACUUCCUGAUCUUCUUGCUCAAUCUCUGUUACACCCUUUGAGAAUUUACCUAAGGUCUCAAUCCAUCACUCUGCCUCUGACAUUCUGCGCAACUCUGGCGAUCAUCCUUCACAUUCCCAUUAACUACUUCCUGGUUUCGCAUCUCAAUUUGGGAAUCCGAGGUGUUGCCUUGAGCGGAGUUUGGUCGAAUUUCAAUCUUGUAAUUUCUUUGAUACUCUACAUCAUUAUCUCCGGCGUGUACAAGAAAACAUGGGGAGGUAUUUCCAUGGAGUGUUUACGAGGAUGGAAGACUCUUCUCAAUUUGGCCAUACCAAGCUGCCAUUUCCUGUGUGCCUUGAAUGGUGGUGGUACGAGAUCAUGAUCUUGCUCUGUGGGUUGUUACUGAAUCCAAGAGCAACUGUUGCGUCAAUGGGGGUUCUAAUCCAGACGACUUCUUUAAUCUACAUCUUCCCUUCUUCUCUAAGCUUCAGUGUGUCCACACGUGUUGGCAACGAAAUCGGAGCAAACAACCCAAGAAAGGCGAGACUUGCGGCCCUUGUGGGGCUUUGUUGCAGCUUCAUUUUAGGCCUAGCAGCUCUGAUCUUUGCAGUGACGGUAAGGAACAUAUGGGCCAGCAUGUUCACUCAGGACAAGGAAAUCAUAGCCCUCACAUCAAUGGUCCUGCCCAUAAUUGGGCUGUGCGAGCUCGGAAACUGCCCGCAGACAACCGGCUGCGGCGUGCUGAGAGGCACGGCGCGGCCGAAAGUUGGGGCCAACAUAAACCUUGGGUGCUUUUACAUUGUGGGAAUGCCAGUGGCGGUGGGGCUGGGGUUCUUUGCCGGAUUAGACUUCAUGGGACUGUGGCUUGGACUUUUGGCGGCUCAGGGUUCCUGUGCUGUCACCAUGUUGGUGGUUUUGGGUGUUACAGAUUGGGAGUAUGAAGCCCAGAAAGCCAAACAGUUGACAGGAGCUGCUGGAGUUGUGGAUGACAGCGCAGAAGUUGAAGAGGACAAGCCAGACAAAGCUGAAAUCAAGGGAGAAGACUGUUUAAUUCUAUUAGGUGAUGAGUUAGAUUACGCUAAUGAUGAUGACAAUAAUGAGAGAAGUUAUAGUGAUUCUAAUGUUUAGUUUAAUCCCCUCGUUUUGAUUCUUUUUUUCUUUUGGGGGUCUUCUUGUUUUGUCCUAAGGUGUAUAGUAGUCUUUGGGUGCAUGUAGAUCAAGAGCAAGGAGUUCUGACUUUGUUUUGGGGAUGAGAGGAGGGUAUUUGUAUUGGCAAAACUAGCUCCGUCUCCAUGAGUUUUCAUAGUUGCAGUGAAAUUCAAUUGUAAGCUGUAAAAUGUUGAAUUUCAUAGGAAGUAGCUAGAGAAUGUACAUGGUCAUCAUCUCCACCCCUUUUCUGUAUUUUGUAAUCGGAUACAGAGUCAUUGAAGAAGAAUUAUUUGCAAAUCACAAUCCAUCCCUUUGGUUUGAAUUUAAUUGAUUAGAAGGAGCAGAGAACAGCAAAGUUCAAUAGGUGAUGCUGUGGGAGUAGACCAGCUACAAGAGGUUGGCUAGCUAUCACUAUAUAU